UACGAAGGGGGCUAGCGUUGCUCGGAAUGACUGGGCGUAAAGGGCGCGUAGGCGGAUGGCACAGUCAGAUGUGAAAUUCCCGGGCUUAACCUGGGGGCUGCAUUUGAUACGUGUUGUCUUGAGUUCGGAAGAGGGUCGUGGAAUUCCCAGUGUAGAGGUGAAAUUCGUAGAUAUUGGGAAGAAACACCGGUGGCGAAGGCGGCGACCUGGUCCGACACUGACGCUGAGGCGCGAAAGCGUGGGGAGCAAACAGG
rnacentral:rRNA from 1 species